rnacentral:rRNA from 1 species
UGGGUAAUAUUGCACAAUCGGCGCAAGCCUGAUGCAGCCAUGCCGCGUGUAUGAAGAAUGCCUUCGGGUUGUAAAGCACUUUCAGCGGGGAGGAAGGCGUUAAGGUUAAUAACCUUGGCGAUUGACGUUACCGACAGAAGAAGCACCGGCUAACUCCGUGCCAGCAGCCGCGGUAAUACGGAGGGUGCAAGCGUUAAUCGGAAUUACUGGGCGUAAAGCGCACGCAGGCGGUUGAUUGAGUCAGAUGUGAAAUCCCCGGGCUUAACCCGGGAAUUGCAUCUGAUACUGGUCAGCUAGAGUCUUGUAGAGGGGGGUAGAAUUCCAUGUGUAGCGGUGAAAUGCGGAGAGAUGUGGAGGAAUACCGGUGGCGAAGGCGGCCCCCUGGACAAAGACUGACGAUCAGGUGCGAAAGCGUGGGGAGCAAACAGG